GUGCCUCCCUCCCUAGAAUGUAAUCCCACCGCUGGAGACUUCUCCACCCUCUGGUAUCUGAGGAUAGCCUGAGUGAAAUCCUUUCCAGGUAGAGAUUUUUUUUUUUUUUUGAUUUAUUUAUUUGAGAAGUAGAGUUACAGAUGGAGACAGUUCACUCCUCAAAUGGCCGCAAAGGCCGGAAUUUAGCUCAUCCGAAGCCAGGAGCCAAGAGCUUCUUCUGAGCCAGGAGCUUCUUCCGGGUCUCUCAUGCUCACGCGGGACCAGAGCACCUGGGCCAUCUUCCGCUGCUUUCCCAGGCCGUAAGCGGCGAGCUGGAUCUGAAGAGGAGCUGCCCAGACUCAGACUGCCACCCACAUGGGAUGCUGGCACCUUAGGCAGAAGCUUAGCCCACUACGCCACAGGCCGACCCCAGAGAUUCACCUUUUUUUUUUUUUUUUAAAGAUUUAUUUAUUUAUUUGAAAGGCAGAGUUACAGAGAGGCAGACACAGACAGGAAGGUGUUCCAUCCGCUGGUUCACUCCCCAAAUGGCUGGAGCUGGAGUUGGGCGGACCCAAAGACAGGACCCAGGAGCUUCUUCCAGGACUGCCACAUGGGUCCAGGGGCCUAAGCGCUUGGUUCUUCUUCCACUGCUUUCCCAGGCCGUAGCAGUGAGCUGGAUUGGAAGCGGAGCAGCUGGGAUUCGAAGUGGCGCCCGUAUGAGAUGCUGGCCCUGCCGGCGGCGGCUUUACAGGAUAUGCCACAGCCCUUGCCCCAGAUUCACUUUUGAAUGAGCGCCUAGGCCUGGUUCCAGAGCAAUAGUUCUCAAAGUGUGACCUCUGUGGUCCUGCAACUUUGCUAUCGCCGGAAACUUGUUAAAAACACAGAACUGCCAGCAAGUGGGAGCAGCUAUCUAAUUUAAUCAGCCCUCCAUGUGAGUCUGAGCAUAGCUGUUGGAGAGUCCCAGGCCUAAACUGGUCCCACAGUAUUUGGGACCUUUAUCAGUGAACUGAGGCAAAAGGCACUAAGGAGAACGAAACUUCAGCAGCUCCUCUCACCAUUCUUCCCAGGAGACCACCUACUCUGCUUGUAGCCAGAGCCAUUCCACCCAUGGGUUCCAAGCUGCUGAAUGGUGUGGGAACCUGAAAAUGAAAGGGUAUAUGGAUAAUUGAAUUAUGGAGAAAUCGCCAAGAGAACAACAAUGAGCUGAUGGUAACUUGUCAACUGUCAGUAUGUAAACACUUGGUGAGUAGAG